AUACGUAGGGGGCGAGCGUUGUCCGGAUUUACUGGGCGUAAAGGGUGAGUAGGCGGUUAUAUAUGUCAGGUGUAAAAAGCUAUGGCUUAACCAUAGUAAGCACUUGAAACUGUAUGAAUUGAGUGCAGGAAAGGUAAGGGGAAAUCCUAGUGUAGCGGUGAAAUGCGUAGAUAUUAGGAGGAACACCGGUGGCGAAGGCGGCUUACUGGACUGUAACUGACGCCGAGUCACGAAAGCGUGGGUAGCAAACAGGAUUAGAUACCCUGGUAGUCCACGCCGUAAACGAUGAGUGCUAGGUGUUGGGCAGCAAUGCUCAGCGCCGAAGUAAACACAAUAAGCACUCCGCCUGGGGAGUACGGCCGCAAGGUUGAAACUUAAAGGAAUUGACGGGG
rnacentral:rRNA from 1 species